rnacentral:snRNA from 1 species
GUGCUCGCUUUGGCAGCACAUAUAGUAAAAAUUGGAAUACAGAGAUUAGCAUGACUCCUGUGCAAGGAUGACACGCAAAGUCGUGAAUUGUUCCAUAUUUUU